CUUUCAACAACGGAUCUCUUGGUUCCAGCAUCGAUGAAGAACGCAGCGAAAUGCGAUAAGUAAUGUGAAUUGCAGAAUUCAUUGAAUCAUC
rnacentral:rRNA from 1 species